CAGGCAUGUCGUUACCGCCUUGCUCAGAGGCAGACACCUGGUGCAGGCUGCCUUGGGGACGGUGCCGUGGGGAAUUUUCCAUGACAGGAACGAGGUGAAGAUGGCUUGAGGACUUGAUGCACAGCAUUUGAAAGAAACACAAGGCUUUCAAGUAAGUUUCCUUAUGCUGGAAGACAAUAGAUGGCAAAUGGCAUUUCCAACCAAAAGAGCCAGGUUCACCGAAGCUGGGGACAUUCCUAUGGUGUGAACCCGACUGCGCUGGUCCUGUUCGGUUGGUGACAGAUCACCUCAGGGAACUCCGGGUCCAGCAAAGCACAUGCGACCUGCAUCUGUGCCCACCCCAAGCCCACGCUCCUGGGUCCUGUGGCUCUUGAAGUGGCAUCUUUCAGCUACAACACACAAGAGAGGUCCUUGUGGUCAUUAAAAUGACCCUGCGGCACCUUUUUCCCAAGAAGAGGAGUGUCAUUGACAGCUCUGGCCAUUGCCAAGUUCAAAUUAAAGUAA